rnacentral:rRNA from 1 species
AGCUCCAAUAGCGUAUAUUAAAGUUGUUGCAGUUAAAAAGCUCGUAGUUGGAUCUCGGGUCCGGGCUGGCGGUCCCGUUCGCGCGGGCACUGCCUGUUCCCGACCUACCGGCCGGCAUGUCCCUUGGUGCUCUUUAUUGAGUGCCUCGGGUGGCCGGCGCGUUUACUUUGAAAAAAUUAGAGUGUUCAAAGCAGGCCGUCGUGCCUGAAUACUGAUGCAUGGAAUAAUGGAAUAGGACCUCGGACUUCUAUUUUGCUGGUUUCUGGAUCUCGAGGUAAUGAUUAAGAGGGACGGCCGGGGGCGUUAGUAUUACGGUGUUAGAGGUGAAAUUCUUGGAUCGCCGUAAGACUCACGGUUGCGAAAGCGUUCGCCAAGAACGUUUUCAUUGAUCAAGAACGAA